rnacentral:rRNA from 1 species
AUUGAACGCUGGCGGCAGGCUUAACACAUGCAAGUCGAACGAGUGGCGGACGGGUGAGUAAUGCUUGGGAAUCUAGUUUAUGGAGGGGGAUACCUACGGGAAACUGUAGCUAAUACCGCGUACCAUAGGAUGAGCCCACGUGGGAUUGGGUAGUUGGGGGGGUAAAGGCUCACCACUCCGACGAUCUCUAGCUGGUCUGAGAGGAUGACCAGCCACACUUGAACUGAAACACGGCCCAGACUCCUACGGUGGGCAGCAGUGGGGAAUAUUGCGCAAUGGGGGCAACCUGACGCAGCCAUGCCGCGUGAAUGAAGAAGGCCUUCGGAUUGUAAAGUUCUUUCGGUAGCGAGGCGUUAACUAAAGAAGAAGCACCGGCUAACUCCGUGCCAGCAGCCGCGGUAAUUC